UGCAGUCGAGCGAACAGAUAAGGAGCUUGCUCCUUUGACGUUAGCGGCGGACGGGUGAGUAACACGUGGGUAACCUACCUAUAAGACUGGGAUAACUUCGGGAAACCGGAGCUAAUACCGGAUAACAUUUGGAACCGCAUGGUUCUAAAGUGAAAGAUGGUUUUGCUAUCACUUAUAGAUGGACCCGCGCCGUAUUAGCUAGUUGGUAAGGUAACGGCUUACCAAGGCAACGAUACGUAGCCGACCUGAGAGGGUGAUCGGCCACACUGGAACUGAGACACGGUCCAGACUCCUACGGGAGGCAGCAGUAGGGAAUCUUCCGCAAUGGGCGAAAGCCUGACGGAGCAACGCCGCGUGAGUGAUGAAGGGUUUCGGCUCGUAAAACUCUGUUAUUAGGGAAGAACAAAUGUGUAAGUAACUAUGCACAUCUUGACGGUACCUAAUCAGAAAGCCACGGCUAACUACGUGCCAGCAGCCGCGGUAAUACGUAGGUGGCAAGCGUUAUCCGGAAUUAUUGGGCGUAAAGCGCGCGUAGGCGGUUUCUUAAGUCUGAUGUGAAAGCCCACGGCUCAACCGUGGAGGGUCAUUGGAAACUGGGAAACUUGAGUGCAGAAGAGGAAAGUGGAAUUCCAUGUGUAGCGGUGAAAUGCGCAGAGAUAUGGAGGAACACCAGUGGCGAAGGCGACUUUCUGGUCUGUAACUGACGCUGAUGUGCGAAAGCGUGGGGAUCAAACAGGAUUAGAUACCCUGGUAGUCCACGCCGUAAACGAUGAGUGCUAAGGGUUAGGGGGUUUCCGCCCCUUAGUGCUGCAGCUAACGCAUUAAGCACUCCGCCUGGGGAGUACGACCGCAAGGUUGAAACUCAAAGGAAUUGACGGGGACCCGCACAAGCGGGGGAGCAGGGGGUUAAUUCGAAGCAACGCGAAGAACCUUAACCAAUCUUGACUUCCUUUGAAACUCUAAGAGAAGAGCCUUCCCUUCGGGGACAAAGUGACGGGGGGGGCUGG
rnacentral:rRNA from 1 species